CUUAGAUGUUCGGGGCCGCACGCGCGCUACACUGAAGGCAUCAGCGUGUUCUACCCUGGUCCGACAGGAUUGGGUAACCCGAUGAACCGCCUUCGUGCUAGGGAUUGGGGCUUGUAAUUAUUCCCCAUGAACGAGGAAUUCCCAGUAAGCGCAAGUCACUAGCUUGCGUUGAUUACGUCCCUGCCCUUUGUACACACCGCCCGUCGCUACUACCGAUUGAGUGGUUUAGUGAGGCCCUCGGACUGGUCUCGGCACGGCGUUCGCGUCGAGCCGGUGCGCCGGAAAGACGGUCAAACUUGCUCACUUAGAGGAAGUAAAAGUCGUAACAAGGUUUCCGUAGGUGAACCUGCGGAAGGAUCAUUACAGAAUCCGCAACGUUUAUGGCGUGCGUCUGAGGCGGCUCUCGCGGGUCACUCGGGCACUCGGCAAUCGUUGCGAGACGCGCUCACGCGUCGCUUUUGGGUUCGGGGACGGCGCGAGCGGCCGUACGUGUCGCCCGCCGCUCUCCGCAGUCUCACGCAGCAGCGGCCGCUGUUGCUAUUGGGACUGAAAUAAAGUCGUUUGGCGUCGUCGGUCUGCGUAGGACGAGCGCGAGCGAUCGCCGGUGAGAUCGCAUUCGCCUGCAUGCUCU
rnacentral:rRNA from 1 species